UUCCAUCUAGAUCUCCCUGCUGAUAGAAAUGGGACGCCGGUCCUCAGAUACUGAAGAAGAAAGCAGAAGCAAGAGAAAAAAGAAACACCGUAGACGGUCGUCUUCGAGCAGUUCUUCAGACAGCAGAACGUAUAGUCGAAAGAAAGGCGGAAGGAAAUCAAGAUCGAAGUCCAGAUCUUGGUCCAGAGAUCGUCAGCCUCGUUCACAUUCUUAUGAUAGAAGACGCAGACAUCGCUCAAGUAGUAGCUCUUCUUACGGCUCUAGAAGAAAACGAAGUCGAAGUCGUUCCAGGGGUCGUGGAAAAUCCUAUAGAGUUCAGAGGUCUAGGUCAAAAAGCAGAACAAGAAGGUACAUAUGCCUUAUUAGCAUUUAUUAUUUGUAACAAACUGUUUCCAGAAUUAAUGACUUAAAGACAUAAUAAUUUAUUUUGUCAUCAUUUUACACCUUUGAGCUCAGCUGACAAUUCUGGGUUUUCUCACCUGGGGUCAUUUUUGCAGUCGUGUGACAGCUUGACUGGAACUGUUUUGUCAGUGUGGCUUUUGAUUCUGGCUAUUGGCUAGGGUAUACAUGGCUUGUCAUGCUCUGUGGCUCGGUUGGGCUUUUUUUAUAGUGGAAAUGUUUUAAGAGGCUGAAAGCAGAAACUGCAAAAUCUCUUUAGGGCUAGCCUCAGAAACGUCAGGGUAUUCUAUGGGCUCCGUAUUUGUGUUCCCCACCAAGCUCGUAUGUUGGAGCCCUGAUUCCUUUUGAGAUUAUAUUUGGGGAUAGGACUUUUAUGGAGGCAAUUAAGAUUAAAUGAAGAAAUAUGUUGGGACCCUAAUCCAAUUAGGUUGGUGGCCUUAUGAGAUGAGGAAGAGACAUCUCUCCAUGUAAAGAAAAUCCAGGUGAGAACAUGGAGAAAAGGCCACCAUCUACAAGACGGGAAGAGAGCCCUCAUAAGGAACCAAAUUGGCCGGUACUUUGAUAUGGACCUUUUAGUUUCUAAAGUGGUGAGAAAAUUUCUGCUGUUAAGCCACCCAAUCUAUUGAUAUUUUGUUACGGUACUCUGGGCAGACUAAUUCAUGGUGUCACUACACAUGCAUUUUUUGGCCUUGCUUAGGGCCAAUAAAGAGAGUGGCUUAUCUGGAGAGUUGUACAUUUUGGGCAGUGGUAGAAAAUAUAAUUUAAUAAGAUCAUGGGAUGGGAACUGUGGUGUUGAAGAACUUGAUGAAGACAUGUGUUCAGAAGUCAUUGAAGGUUUUUGAGCAGGAGAAUUUUAGGAUUAAAUAAAGCAUAAAAACAGUAUUUUAGGAAGUUCAGGUUUUUUUCCUCUGCUUGCUUCUGCAUGCUCUUAGGCUGUAAUUGGGAUGGAUGUUAGCAGCCUCAAUUUGUUAUCUAGGCAUAACAUUUAUCAUUUAUGAUUCUCUGUGUGGAUAAUAGUAGUAAAGUCAGAAUGUGUAACUUUUCUGGCCUUGUAUUACUUAAAUUCUAAGGAUAAACCAUUCUGUAGUACAUGCCUUCUUUCUCCAUUUGACCCAUAGUUGCAUGCUUUGUUUUCUUUGAGUGUACUCUUUUUUCCAGUUUUCUAUCAUCAUCUGUAUUUGGAGAAAUCUUCCUACCAUUUUUUGUUAAAAGAUUUAUUUAUUUAUUUGAAAGUCAGAGUUACACAUAGUGAGAAGGAGAGGCAGAGAGAGGUCUUCCAUCCACUGGUUUACUCCCCAAUUGGCUGCAAUGGCCAGAGCUGUGCUGAUUGGAAGCCUGGAGCCAGGAGCUUCUUCUGGAUCUUCCACAUGGGUGCAGGGGCCCAAGGACUUGGGCCAUCCUCUACUGCUUUCCCAGGCCAUAGCAGAGAGCUGGAUCAGAAGUGGAGCAGCCAGGACUUGAACUGGUGCCCAUAUGGGAUGCCAGCACUGCAGAUAGUGGUCUUACCUGCUACGCCACAGCGCCGGCCUCUCUUCCUACCUUUUUAAUGUUGAUUUAUUUUCAUCUACUUAAAAGGCAAAGCAACCGAGUCACAGAGAGAUCUCCCAUCUGCUAGUUUACUCCUCAAAGUCCUGUAACAGUCAAGCCUGGGCAAAGCUGAAGCCAGGAACCUGGAAUUCCAUUUGGGUCUCACAUGUGGAUGGCAGGAAUCCAAGCACUUAGGCCAUCACCUGCUGCCUUCCAGGUUAUAAUAGCAGAAAGCUGGAUUGGAAAUAGUGCACCCAGGACUCCCGCUGGCAUUCCAGCAUGGAUGCUGGCAUCGUAAAUGGUAGUUUAACCCACUGUACCACUGCACCCACCCCUCUUAACAUUUUAAUGUUAACUUUAUGUAGUUUUCUUUUUUUUUUAAGAUUUAUUUUGUUUAUUUGAAAGGCUGGGUUACACACACACACACACACACACACAAACACACACACACACACACAGAAAUAGAAGUGGGGGAGAGGAGAGAGUGAUUAUCUUCCAUUCUUGGUUCACUUCCCAAAUGACUGUAACCUGGGUUUGAGUCAGGCUGAAGCCAAAGGCCUGGAACUCCAUCCCAGUCUCCCAAGUGGGUGACAGGGGCUGGGUACUUGGGCCAUCUUCUGCUACUUUCUCAGGAUCAUUAACAGAGAGCUGGAUUGAAAGGGAGCAGCUGGGACUAAAUUGGUGCCCAUAUGUGAUGCCAGCAUUGCAAGCUGCAAAGCUUGACCCACUGUGCCACAAUGCUGGCCCCCAAGUUCUAUGUAAAUGUAAUUCUCCUUUUCUUUAAACCCUUUUACUGUUUUUAUGUUUUUCUCUCCUAAGUCAAGUUUAAACCAUCCUUUCUCUCACCUACUAUCCCAUGUGUUUUUUGAUUUGUGACAGUUAUAUUGUGAAUAUUACAGUUUUGUUUUUCUCAUAUAUUGUAAUCUCUUGGUAACUAGCAUAAUUCCUUGCUCAGUUGAUACAUGAUGACUGAAUGAUUAAUUGGGGAAAUGAAGGUAGAUAGAGAGUUGAAAAGGAAAAGUUUUAUUUUAUUAAUUUGUAGAGAGAAAGCUUUAUUUUCGAUGUCUUAAUUUAUCUAGCAAGAGACUGAUUACCAGAAAGCAACUUGAAUUAUAAUUUCCUAUUGGUGGGACCAGAUAUAAUAAUACUCUGCUUUUAUGGUUGUAUGCUUUAACAUACACUAUAUCAGUCAAUCUGUGUAUGAUUAGGAAAACAGAAGCCACUCAAUUCUAAGGAUGAGAGAGUUUUAGCAUAGAACCUUUGGUAGGGCUUAGGGAGUGUGCAGGGUGGGGAAGGUGUUAGUGAUUAUUUCAGCCUGAAGCAUGGAAAUUUGUUAUCUCAGACGUAAGUGGAAAUCUUAAGAAAUAAAAUGAAAAGUUUUCAAGAAACUACUCACUUGGAAGCUGCUUCUGUGCCUAAGUGUUUACUUACAACUUCCUCUAGUAAUGAAUCUGAAAAUGCAGUUACUUUCUUUUCCUUUGCAGAAGGGGACCUUAAUGAGAGUGGCAGUGAUCUAGUCACCAAUAGGUAAUCCAGCACACAUCCAUUUUGUAAUUGAGCUUUUGUAGUCCUCUGUGAGGAAACAAAUUCAUGAGCCCAUUCAAAAUGGCAACUUCUCAACUUUGCUGUUAUGUGUGUCUAAAAUAAAGGUGUUACAGGAAUGACAGUAGCUGCAAAGUUAAAUGUUUGACGUUUAAAUUUCCAUAGGUAACUUAUAGAGUAAUUGGGUAAUUAGUCUUUUUAAUAUAACUUUUUAUGUUCUUUUUGAUGUGCUAGUUGUGACAUGUAUCUUAUCACUUUCUUCUUCAUUGGUGAGAAAGUUACCCUUAUUAUAUACAGUAUAUUUACUUGCUUAUUUUGGCUAAACCUGGUAGAGGAGACUUGGCCUGCUAAAGGUGGAAAGUGCUAUGGGAAUGAAGAAAGAGAUGAAGAAAUCCAGGAUUACACAGAUUUUAUUAGAGACUUAAGGACAGAGGCAUUGUUUUGAGUGGACACCAGACCGAUGGAUCCCUAGCCACUAGGCAAGAGAAAAAUGGUUUUGUAGUUAGAGGUGGCCUGUGGCUAACAGGCUUAUACCUGGACUUUGUCAGGAAUAUUAACAUCACACGUGUCAGAUAAGAGAUAUUUCAGAUGUCAGAUAAGCCACAUGAGUUGCCUUAAUGAGUUUGUUUAUCCCAUAGGCUUUGGGAUGACUGUCAGGGUUACCUGAAUGGCAGAAUAACGGUAUGUCCAACCUGACUGUAAUCAUAUCAAGUUGGAUCUCUACAUUGAUCAGUUAUGGAAUAUACAGAAAGUAGUUUCAGAAAUGCUAAUAUAUGGUGGUGAAAAUCUCACUUAGAAAGUAAAUUCAAAGUUUCUUCCCAUUCUUAUGAUCGGUACCCUGAAGGUGUCUAGUUCUGCAUCUGAACCCGGACUGGUUCUUUCAGUAUGGUUAAUUUCUUCAUUUUGAAAGAUUUGAUCUCAUUUGUUUCUUUUUAUAUUUCAUUUCGAGUUAGUUCCUUUAAAUUAUUGUACUUUUCCUGUUUAUUUUAGUAUGUAAAAAAUUAAUAUGGUUCCAAAAGACAUGACUUUACCAAACGGUAUACUUAGAAAAGUAUCACUCCCUCUUCUCUCUAGAGAGAGAGAGAGAGAUCGUUCAUUGGCUGUUUCAUUCCCCAAAUGGCUGCAAUGGCCAGGGCUGGACCAAACUGAAGCCAUGAGCCUGAAGAUUCUUCCAGGUCUCCCAUGUGGGUAUAGGGGCCCAAGUACUUGGGCCACUGCUUUCCUAGGCACAUUAACAGUGAGCUGGGUAGGAAGUGGAGCAGCUGGGAGUUGAGUUGGUGCCCAUAUGAGAUGCCAGCACUGUAGGCAGUAACUUGUUCAGUGUCACAAUUCUGCUCCCCACUCCCUCUUCUGACCUCUUCCUGUCUACCCUUUGAUGUAUUUGAUGUAACCAAUCUUGUUAGUUACUAGUUUAAACUUUCUGCAUUUCUUUUUUUUUUUUAAAUGAGUAAUUAUACUUGAGGCAUUCCAUAGAUACUCUAUUACAUUUUACUUUUUUUUGUAUACGAAUAUAUCUUUUUUAAAAUUUUGUUAUAUAAGUUUCAUGUAUUUUUUUAAAAGAUUUAUUUUAUUCAUGAGCUAGAGACACACACACAGAGAAAUCUAUCUGCUGAAAGACAGAGUUAUAGAGAAAAGGUAGAGACAGAGAAAUCUUCCAUCUGCUCGUUCAUUCCCAAAUGGCCGCACUGAAGCCAGGAACCAGGAGCUUCCUUGAGGUCUUCCACAUGGCUGCAGGGGCCCAAGUACCUGGACCAUCCUCCACUGCUUUCCCAUGUGGAUUAGCAGGGAGCUGGAUCAGAAGUGGAGCAAGUGGGACUUGAACUGGCACCCAUAUAGGAUACUGAAACUGUAGGCUGGAUCCUUAAUCCACUGUGCCACAGUGCCGGCCCCCAUGUAUUUCAUAUAUACAGAUUUAGGAACAUAAUGAUACUUCCUACCCUAUUCUUCCUUCUGCCUACGCUUCAACCCUUCCUCUUCCCUCUUCCAUUCCCACUCUUUUUUUUUUUUUUUUCUUGACAGGCAGAGCCGACAGUGAGAGAGAGAGACAGAGAGAAAGGUCUUCCUUUGCCGUUGGUUCACCCUCCAAUGGCCGCCAUGGCUGGCGCGCUGUGGCCGGAGCACCGCGCUGAUCCGAUGGCAGGAGCCAGGUACUUCUCCUGGUCUCCCAUGGGGUGCAGGGCCCAAGGACCUGGGCCAUCCUCCACUGCACUCCCUGGCCACAGCAGAGAGCUGGCCUGGAAGAGGGGCAACCGGGACAGAAUCUGGCUCCCUGACCGGGACUAGAACUCGAUGUGCCGGCGCCGCAAGGCAGAGGAUUAGCCUAGUGAGCUGCGUUGCCGGCCCCAUUCCCACUCUUAAUUUUUACAAAGACCUAUUUUCAGUUUACUUAAUGAUGGUAAACUUUUUUUUUUUUAAAGAUGUGUUUAUUUAUUGAAAGUCAGAGUUGCACAGAGAGGGGAGAGGCAGAGAGAGAGAGAGAGAAAAAGAGAGAGAGAGAGAGGUCCUCCAUCUGAUGGUUCACUCCCUAAUUGGCCACAACAGCUGGAGCUGCACCAAUCCAAAGCUAGGAGCCAGGAGCUUCUUCCAGGUCUCCCAUGUGGGUGCAGGGGCCGAAGGACUUGGGGGCCAUCCUCUACUGCUUUUCCAGGCCAUAACAGAGAGCUGGAUCGGAAGUGGAGCAGCCGGGUCUUGAACUGGCGCGCACGUGGGAUGCCGGCGCUUCAGGCCAGGGUGUUAAGCCGCUGUGCCACAACGCUGACCCCAGUGAUCAUAAAAUUAACCCUACAAUAAGUAAAAGAGUUCAGUAAAUAGUAUGAAGAAAGAAACACUGUUCCUCAAGGGAAGAGACAAGGGCUGUAAACAAUCAUUGAAUCUCAGAAUACAUUUCACUCCAAUACAUUACAUUUUAGAUACUCUGUUAGUUACCUCAGAUCAGGGAAAACAUGAUACCUUUUUGGGGCUGGCUUUUUUCGCUAAGUAUAGUGGUUUCCAGUUGCAUCCAUCUUGUUGCAACAUACAGGAUUUUUUUUUUCUUUCUUUUUUUUUUUUUUUUUUACAGCUGUGUAGUAUUCCAUGGUGUAUAAUACCAUAAUUUCUUUAUCCAGUCACUGGUUGAUGGACAUCUAGGUUAAUUCUGUAUCUUACCUAUUGUGAAUUGUGCUGCAAUGAACAUGGGGGUACAUAUAACUCUUUUCAUAUGCUGAUUUUUUUGGUUUGGGUAAAUUCCCACGAGUGGGAUGGCUGGAUCAUAUGGUAGGUCUGUAUUCAGCUUUCUGAGGUACCUCCAUACUGCUUUCCUCAGUGGCUGCACCAGAUUACAUUCCCACCAACAGUGGAUUAGGGUACCCUUUUCCCCACAUCCUCACCAGCAUUUGUUGUUUGCUGAUUUCUGUAUGAGAGCCAUUCUAACUGGAAUGAGGUGAAACCUCAUUGUAGUUUUUGAUUUGCAUUUCUCUGAUGGCCUGUGAUCCUGAGCAUUUUCUCAAGUGUCUUGAGCUCUUUAUAGAUUAUACAUGUUAACGCUUUAUCAGUUAAAUAGUUUGCAAAUGUUUUCUCCUCUUCACAUUGUUUAAUGUUUAUUUUGCAAUGCAGAAGCUUCUCAGCUUGGUAUAAUCCCAUUUGUCAAUUUUGGCUUCUUACUGGGUCUUUUCCGAUAAGUCUUUGUCUAUGCCAAUGUCUUACAGAGUUUCCCCAAUGUUCUCUAGUAAUUUGAUGGUAUCAGGUCAUAGAUUUAAGUCUUUGAUCCAUUUUGAGUUGAUUUUUGUAUAAGGUAGAAGGUGGGGGUCUAGUUUCAUACUUAUACAUGUGGAGAUCCAGUUUUCCCAGCACCAUUUGUUGAAGAGACUCCUUGUUCCAGGGAUUGAUUUUCACUCUGUUGUCAAUGAUAAGUUGGUUGUAGAUGCAUGGAUUGAUUUCUGGAGUUUCUGUUCUGUUCCAUUGGUCUACAAGUCAGUUUUUCUGCCAGGUCUGGACUGUUUUGAUUAUAACUGCCCUGUAGUAUGUCUUGAAAUCUGGUAUUGUGAUGCCUCUGGCUUUGUUUUUGUUGUAUAAGAUUGCUUUUUUCUUUUCAGGGUCUUCUGUGUUUCCAUAUGAAUUUUAGGAUCUUUUUUUCUAGAGCUGCAAAAAAAAAGUCAUUGAUAGUUAAAUUGGGAUCACAUUGAAUCUGUAAAUUGCUUUUGGUAGUAUGGACAUUUUGAUGCUAUUGAUUCUUCCAAUCCAUGAACAUGGUAGAUUUUAACAUUUUUUAAUGUCUUCUAUUUCUUUUUUGAGUGUUUUGUAAUUUUCAUCAUUGAGAUAUUUGACUUUCUUGAUUAAAUUUAUUCCGAGAUAUUUAAUUCCUUUCGGAAACAUGGUAAAUGGAACUGAUCUUAAAAGUUCUCUCUCAGCCAUGGCAUUGUCUGCAUGUACAAGGGCUGUUGAUUUUCUUUGUUAAUUUUAUAUCCUGCCACUUUAUGACUUUCUUUUAUGAAUUUUAAUAGUCUCUCUGUGGAGUCUUUUGGAUCCGCUAUGUAUAGAAUCCUGACAUCUGCAAAUAGGGGUAGUUUGAUUUCCUCAUUUCCGAUUUGUAUUCCUUUGAUUCUUUUUCUUGACUAAUGGUUCUGGCUAAAACUUCCAAGAUUAUACUAAAUAACAAUGCCACUCUCGAGUGGGCAUCCUUGUAUGGUUCUAGAUCUUAAGAGGAAUGCUUCUAGGUUUUCCCCAUUCAGUAGCAUGUUGAAUUUGUCAUAAAUUGCCUUGAUUGUGUUGAGGAAUGUUCCUUCUCUACCCAAUUUGCUUAAGGUUUUCAUCAAUGAAGGAUAUUAUAUCAAAUAAUUUCUCUGCAUCAGUUGAGAUAACCAUAUUUUUUUGUUUAUUUUUUUAAUAUGAUGUAUCACAUUUAUUGAUUUGUGAAUGUUGAAUCAUCCCUGCAUACCAGGGAUAAAUUCCACUUGGUCUGGGUGAAUGAUCUUUCUGAUGUAUUGUUGGAUUCGAUUAGCUAAUAUUUUGUUGAGGAUUUUUACAUCAACGUUCAUCAAGGAAAUUGGUUUAUAGUUCUCUCUGUUGUUUCUUUUUCUGGUUUAGGAAUUAAGGUGAUACAGGCUUCAUAGAAUGAGUUUGGAAGAAUUCCCUCCUUUUCAAUUGUUUGGAAUAGCUUGAGAAGAAUUGGAAUUAUUUCUUCUUUAAGUGUCUGAUAGAAUUCAGCAGUGAGGCGUUUCUGUACUUGGCUUUUUUUAUUGGUAAGGCCUUUAUGAUUGAUUCAGUUUCCAUCAUGGUUAUUGAUCUGUUUAGAUUUUCUAUGUCUUCAUGACUCAAUUUUGAUAGAUUUUAUGUGUCUAGGAAUCUAUUCAUUUCUUCUAGGUUUCUCAAUUUGUUGACAUACAGCUCUUUGUAGUAACUCCUGAUGAUUCUUUUUAUUUCUGUGGUUAAUGUUUACAUUUUGCAAAGAUAUCUUCUAAGUUACUCCAUAUCAAUUUAUUAAGACCUUACUUUUUUAACAAAUGAUUUAUCUGUUUAUUUGAGAGUGACAGAGAGAGAAAGAGAAAGAUGUUUCAUCCACUGGUUCACACCCCAGUUGCCCAUGCUGGGCAGUGCUGGGAUAAGCUUGGAACUCUGGAACCCUAUCCAGGUCUUCCUUGUAGGUGGCAGGGGUCCAAGUACUUGAGCUAUCGUUGACUGUUUUUCCAGGCACAUUCACAGGGAACUGGAUUAGAAGUAGUGUAAGUCUUGAACCAGCACUACUAUAUGGGAUGCUAGCAUUGCAAAAAAUGGUAGCUGAACUGCUGUACCACAUCUCUGGACUCUUAACAUUUUUUAAUAGCUGCAUUGUGUAGUUCUAUUAUAUUUUGUUUGCCACUCUUCUAGGUAUGAAUAAUAAAGGUACAACCAAUAUUUUACAGUUACUAACAAACUGCCAUGAAUAUACACAUAUAUGUGAGGUUUUUACUGUUAAGAUGUGCCUUCAGAGGGAACUCCUGUAAGUAAGACUGGUAGAUUAAAAGAGAAAUAUAUGGUUUUGUUAGAAAUUACUAUAUUUCUAUCAGUAAUUCUGAGUGUCCUAUUUCCCUUCAGUGCCAUCAACAGAAUGUUUUGUUCUAUUGAUAGAUGAGAAAUGUUACUUUGGUGUAGUUUUAAUUUUCAUUUAUUUUACUGUGAAUAACAUUGACCAUUUUUCAUAUGUUUAAUGAUCUUUUUAUUUGUUUAAAAAAUUUUUGUAAUUUAUUUGAAAGAGCAACAGAGGGAGAGAAAGGGACAGAGAGCAAGUGAGAGAUCUUCUAUUCUCUGAUGCGCUUUCCAAAUGGCUACAACAGUUGGAAUUGGGCCAGGCCCAAGCCAGGUGCCAAGAACUCCAUCCUGUUGUCCCAUGUGGGUGACAGGUACCAAAGUACUUGGACUGUCUUCCUCUGCCUUCCCAGGUGCAUUAACAGGAAAGUAGAUCAAGAGCAGAGCACCUGGACUCUAACCAGCACUCAUAGCAGGAUGUUGGUGCUGUAAGCAUCGCAAGCAGCAAUUUAACCCACUGUACCAUAAUGCCAGCCCUCAAUGGCAUGUACUUCUGUCUUCAUUAUGUGUGAAUUUUCUAUUCAUGUCUUCUGGGUUUUGGUCUUUCUUUCCUUCAAUUUUGAAGAGUAAUUUACUAGAGAUAUUAGCCCUUUAGCUGUUACGAAUGGCAUAUAUUUUCUCAUAGUUUUUCAAUUGUCCUUUGAUUUUGUUUAUGCUAUUUGUUGGCUGUGCAAAACUUUUUUCUUUGAUGUGGUCAAGUUUAUCAUUUUUUUCUUUCAUUCUGUGCAUUUAAGACAUAAAGUCUUACAUCCAGACAUAGAGUUUACUGAUUUUUUUUUUCUGGUAUAAUUACUUCAUCUUCAUUUAGAUCCUUUACAUUUUUAUAUUUAUUCUUGUGUGUAGUAUGAGGCAUAGUUCUUUUUUCUUUUUUCAGUUAAUUCAUCAUUUAUUAAAAAGUCCAUAAUUGCCCUACUGAUUUAUGAUGCUCCUUUUAUAAUAUAUUAACUUUCUGUAAAUUCUUGAGGCUUUUUCUUAACUUUAUAUCUAUUCUAGUGAUUUGCUGUCUUUUCAUGUGCCAGUACUACAUUUACAAUUAUAGGGACUUUAUGGUGUGUUUUAUUGUUGGGUAGAGGUAGUCUUCCCUGUUCCUUCUUAGCUCCUUUUCUUUUUUCAAUGUUUUCUUGGCUAUUCUUUUAAUAUGAACUGGUUUUGUAUUUUCUUUUUAUGAAAUUUAUUUAUUUUAUUUAUUUGAAAUGCAGAAAGAGAGAGACAGAUAGAAAGAUCUCCCAUCUGCUGGUUCACUUCCCAGAUGCCUAGAGCAGCAUUUGGGCUAGAUGCCAAAACUGAGAGCCAAGCACUCCAUUUAGGUUUCCCCACAGGUGGUGGCAGGGACUCAACUACUUGUCUGUUACCUGCCACCUCCCAAAGUGUGCAUUAGCAAUCAGCUGGAUGAGAAACAAAGGAGCCAGAACUCAAACUAGGCACUCUAAUAUGGUUAUGGGCUUCUUCUCAAGUGAUAUCUUAAUUGCUAUGCCAAAAGCCCAACCAUAAAUAUAUAUUUUUUUCUUUUCAUGUAAACUUUAAUAUUAGCUUGUCUGGGUCUGUUCAAAAAGCUUGGUGGUGUUUCAUUGGGAUUCUUAUCAAAUUUAUAAAUGUAGAACUGAUGUCUUUGUGUUGAAUUUUUCUACUGAAUAUCCAAGGGGUGGUUUUUCAUAUGUUUUAGUGUAUUGGUUUUUUUUUUUUUUUGAUUCAUGAAUAUUUUGAAGUUUUCCUGAUACAUAGUUUUGUUCAUUUCCUGCUAAGUUUAUUUCAAAAUAUUUGUGUUUUUUUUUUUUUUUUUUGACAGGCAGAGUGGACAGUGAGAGAGAGAGAGACAGAGAGAAAGGUCUUCCUUUUGCCGUUGGUUCACCCUCCAAUGGCCGCCGCGGCCGGCGCGCUGCGGCCGGCGCACCGCGCUGAUCCGAUGGCAGGAGCCAGGAGCCAGGUGCUUUUCCUGGUCUCCCAUGGGGUGCAGGGCCCAAGCACCUGGGCCAUCCUCCACUGCACUCCCUGGCCACAGCAGAGGGCUGGCCUGGAAGAGGGGCAACCGGGACAGAAUCCGGCGCCCCUACCGGGACUAGAACCCGGUGUGCCGGCGCCGCUAGGAGGAGGAUUAGCCUAGUGAGCCGCGGCGCCAGCCAAAAUAUUUGUUUUUUAUAGAUAUUAUUUUAAUUAAUAUUAUUAUAACUAUUAAUAAAUACUUUUUUUUCUGAUUGUGGAAAUCUAUAGAACUCUGUUACUUUUAUGUCUUGCUUCAUUAUUAACUUUUUUUCUUUAAAGUUUUUUUUAUUUUCAGAGUCAGAGGGAGAGACAGAUCUUUCAUCUGCUGGUUUACUCCCCAAAUGGCCACCACAGACAGUGCUAGACCAAUUUGAAGCCAGGAGUCAGGAGGUUAAUCCAGGUCUGCCAUGUGGGAGGGACCCAAACACUUGGACCAUCUUUCACUGCUUUUCCCAGGUGCAUUAACAAGGAGCUGGAUCGGCAGUAGAGUAGCUGGGACAUGAACCACCACCCAGAUGGGAUGCCAGCAUUACAGCAGCAGCUUUACCUGCUAUGCCACAAUGCAGCCCCAGUUGAAUAAGAUUUAUCAUUGAUUCUCUGGCAUUUAUCAUAGUAUCUGCAAAUAGGAAUGGUUUCACUUUCUUUCCAAUUCUUAUUUUUCCAUUUACUUUCUUUUGUCUAAUUUCACUGGGUUUUACCUGAAGUACAGUGUGGAAUAGCAGUGGAGAUAUUAUACAUCUCUGUCUGAUUUUAUUGAAAAUGCCUUUACUGGGGCCAGCCUUGUGGUACAGUGGAUUAAUCCACUGCCUACAAGGCCAGCAUCCAUGUGGACACUUGUACUAGUCCCAGCUGCUCCACUUCCAGUAUAGCUCCCUGCUGAUGUGCCUGGGAAAGCAGAGUCUGCCCAAAUGUUUGGGCCCCUGCACCCACAUAAGAGACUCAGAUGAAGCUCCUGGCUCCUGGCUUUGGCAUGGCCUAGCUCCAGCCAUUGUGGCCAUUUGGGGAAUAAACCAAUAGAUGGAAGAUAGCUUUCUCUCUCUCUCUCUCUGUAAUAUUGCCUUUCAAAUAAAUAAAAAGUAUUAAAAAAAGAAAAUGCCCUGGUAUGUUUCUAACUCUACCGUUUGGAGCAAGUCAGCUUGAGCAUGUCCCGAAUUGCACAUCUCUUCCCUCUCUUAUUCCCACUCUUAUAUUUAACAGCGAUCACUUUUCAGUUAAGUUUCAACACCUAAGAAUAACUGUGUAUUGAUUACAGUAUUCAACCAAAAGUAUUAAGUAGAACAAACAAAAAAAAUAUUAAGAGGGAUAACGUAUUAACUUGUUCAUCAUCAGUCAGGGCAAGGGCUGAUCAAGUCAUCGUUUCUCAUAGUGUUCAUUUCACUUUAACAGGUUUCCUUUUUGGUGCUCAGUCAGUUGUCACUGAUCAGGGAGAACAAGUGGUAUUUGUCCCUUUGGGACUGGCUUAUUUCACUCAGCAUAAUGUUUUCCAAAUUCCUAAAAGGGAUCACUUUUCAGUUAAAAUUUAAACACCUAAGAAUAAUUGUGUGUUAAUUACAGAGUUCAACCAAUAGUACUAGAACAAAAAAAAAUACUAAAAUGGAUCAAGUAUUACAUUGUACAUCAACUGUCAGGACAAGAGCUGAUCAAGUCACUGUUUCUCAUAGUGUCCAUUUCACUUCAACAAGUUUCCCCUUUGGUGCUCAGUUAGUUGUUGCCGAUCAGGGAGAACAUAUGAUAUUUGUCCCUUUGGGACAAAUUUACUUAGCAUGAUGUUUUCCAAAUUCCUCCAUCUUGUUGCAAAUGCCUGGGUUUCAUGGUUUUUGACUGCUGUAUAGUAUUCUAUAGAGUACAUGUCCCAUGAUUUCUUUAUCCAGUCUACUGUUGAUGGGCAUUUGGGUUGGUUCCAGGUCUUAGCUAUUGUGAAUUGAGCUGCAAUAAACAUUAAUGUGCAGACAGCUUUUUUGUUUGCCAGUUUCAUUUGCUUUGGGUAAAUUCCAAGGAGUGGGAUGGCUGGGUUGUUUGGUAGGGUUAUAUUCAGGUUUCUGAGGAAUCUCCAGACUGACUUCCAUAGUGGCUUAACCAGUUUGCAUUCCCACCAACAGUGGGUUAGUGUCCCUUUUUCCCCACAUCCUCUCCAGCAUCUAUUGUUGGUAGAUUUCUGAAUGCCCUUCUAACUGGGGUGAGGUGGAACCUCAUUGUGGUUUGGAUUUGCAUUUCCCUGAUUGCUAGUGAUCUUGAACAUUUUUUCAUGUGUCUGUUGGCCAUUUGGAUUUCCUCUUUUGAAAAAUGUCUAUUGAGGUCCUUGGCCCAUCUCUGAAGUGGGUUGUUUGUUUUGAUGUUGUGGAGUUUCUUGAUUUCUUUGUAGAUUCUGGUUAUCAACCCUUUAUCUGUUGCAUAGUUUGCAAAUAUUUUUUCCCAUUCUGUGGGUUGCCUCUUCACUUUCCUGACUGUUUCUUUUGAAGUACAGAAACUUACCAGGCGAUUCCAAUUCAAUCCCAUCAAGGUGUCAUGUAUCAAUGCCAUCUCACUAGUCCCAGUGAUCAAUUUCUGUUCACAAUUGAUCAUAAUGAUAGGACUAAGAACCAAAGGGAUCACAUAAACAAGAAUAGUGUCUGCAAAUACUAGCUGAUAGAAGAAAAAAGGGAGAGAAUGAUCCAACAUGGGAAGUGAGAUACACAGCAGACCCAUAGAAUGGCAGAUGUUCUAAACAGCACUCUGGCCUCAGAAUCAGCCCUUAAGGCAUGCGGAUCCAGCUGAAAAGCCCAUGAGAGUAUUUCAGGCAUGGAAAGCCAAGACACUCUGUCCAAAAAAAAAAAAAAAUAAAACCUAAAUGAAAGAUCUCCGUGAGUGAGAUGCCAGUGGAAAGAACAGGUCAUCAAAGAAGGAGGUACCUUUCUCUGAAGGGAGGAGAGAACUUCCACUUUGACUACGACCUUGUCUAAAUAUGAUCAGAGUCGUUGAACUCAAAAAGCUUCCACAGCCUUGGCAACUCAUGACAAGAGCCUAGGGUGAUUACUGAUGCCAUAAAUGAGAGUGUCAAUUUGUUAAGUCAACAACAGGAGUCACUGUGCACUUACUCCUCAUGUAGGAUCUCUGUCCUUAAUGUGCUGUACGUUGUGAUUUAAUGCUAUAACUAGUACUCAAACAGUAUUUUUCACUUUUUGUUUCUAUGUGGGUGCAAACUGUUGAAAUCUUAAUAUAUGCUAAACUGAUCUUCUGUAUAUAAAGACAAUUGAAAAUGAAAAAAAAAAAAAAAGAAAAAGAAAAAGUUUUCCCACUAAGAAAUAAGCUGGCUGUAGGACUGAAGUGUGUUGGGGUGUGUGUGUGUGUGUAUAUAUAUAUAUAUAUAUAUACAUACAUACAUACAUAUAUAUAUGUAUAGUUAAAUAAAGUUAUUAUUGUAGGAGAGAGUCCAUCAUUUUACAUGUAUUUUUUCUGGAACACAUAUCGAUUUUUGCCAAAAGUAUUUUCAUCGUCUGUGGAGAAUCAAGAUUUUAUCCUUUGCUAGUAAGGAACUAAUUUUGCACUUAAGAAUAAAUUUCACGGCACUGUGGUGCAGUGGGUUAAAGCCCUGGCCUGAAGCACUGGCAUCCCAUAUAGGCGCCGGUUCAAGUCCUGGCUGCUCCACUUCUAAUCCAGCUCUCUGCUAUGGCCUGGGAAAGCAAUAGAAGAUGGCCCAAAUCCUUAGGCCCCUGAACCGCGUGGGAGACCGGGAAGAAGGUCCUGGCUCCUGGCUUUGGAUCGGCUCAGCUCCGGUCCUUGUGGUCAACUGGGGAGUGAACCCAGUUCACUUCCAGUGGAUGGAAGACCUCUCU